AAGUCGUAACAAGGUUUCCGUAGGUGAACCUGCGGAAGGAUCAUUAUUGAAUUAUGUUUCUAGAUGGGUUGUAGCUGGCUCUUUGGAGCAUGUGCACGCCUGUUUGGAUUUCAUUUUCAUCCACCUGUGCACCUAUUGUAGUCUUUGGUUUGGGUAUUGAGGAAGUGGUCAGCCUAUCAGCAUUUGCUGGAUAUGAGGAGUUUGCAGUGUGAAAGCAUUGCUGUCCUUUACUUGGCCAUGGAGUCUUUUGCCUGCCAGAGUCUAUGUCAUUCAUUAUACCCUGUCGAAUGUUAUCGAAUGUCUUUACAUGGGCUUUCAUGCCUAUGAAAAUUAUAAUACAACUUUCAGCAACGGAUCUCUUGGCUCUC
rnacentral:misc_RNA from 1 species